rnacentral:rRNA from 1 species
CCUACGGGUGGCUGCAGUGGGGAAUAUUGGACAAUGGGCGAAAGCCUGAUCCAGCCAUGCCGCGUGUGUGAAGAAGGCCUUCGGGUUGUAAAGCACUUUCAGUGGGGAAGAAAGCCUUGGGGCUAAUACCCUCGAGGAAGGACAUCACCCACAGAAGAAGCACCGGCUAACUCCGUGCCAGUAGCCGCGGUAAUACGGAGGGUGCGAGCGUUAAUCGGAAUUACUGGGCGUAAAGCGCGCGUAGGCGGUCUGAUAAGCCGGUUGUGAAAGCCCCGGGCUCAACCUGGGAACGGCAUCCGGAACUGUCAGGCUAGAGUGCAGGAGAGGAAGGUAGAAUUCCCGGUGUAGCGGUGAAAUGCGUAGAGAUCGGGAGGAAUACCAGUGGCGAAGGCGGCCUUCUGGACUGACACUGACGCUGAGGUGCGAAAGCGUGGGUAGCAAACAGGAUUAGAUACCCGGGUAGUC